rnacentral:rRNA from 1 species
GGCCAGACUCCUACGGGAGGCAGCAGUGGGGAAUAUUGCACAAUGGGGGGAACCCUGAUGCAGCAAUGCCGCGUGAAGGAUGAAGGUUUUCGGAUUGUAAACUUCUUUUGUACGGGACGAAGAAAGUGACGGUACCGUAAGAAUAAGCCACGGCUAACUACGUGCCAGCAGCCGCGGUAAUACGUAGGUGGCAAGCGUUAUCCGGAUUUACUGGGUGUAAAGGGCGAGUAGGCGGGAUUGCAAGUCAGAUGCGAAAACUAUGGGCUCAACCGAUAGAGUGCAUUUGAAACUGCAGUUCUUGAGUGAUGGAGAGGCAGGCGGAAUUCCUAGUGUAGCGGUGAAAUGCGUAGAUAUACGGAGGAACACCAGUGGCGAAGGCGGAUUGCUGGACAGUAACUGACGCUGAGGCGCGAAAGCGUGGGGAGCAAACGGGAUUAGAUACCCUAGUA